rnacentral:rRNA from 1 species
UACAGAGGUCUCAAGCGUUGUUCGGAUUCAUUGGGCGUAAAGGGUGUGUAGGUGGCGCCGUAAGUCGGGUGUGAAAUUUCGGAGCUUAACUCCGAAACUGCAUUCGAUACUGCGGUGCUUGAGGACUGGAGAGGAGACUGGAAUUCAUGGUGUAGCAGUGAAAUGCGUAGAGAUCAUGAGGAACACCGGUGGCGAAGGCGGGUCUCUGGGCCGAUAUUGACGCUGAGGAGCGAAAGCGUGGGGAGCGAACAGG